UACGAAGGGGACUAGCGUUGUUCGGAAUUACUGGGCGUAAAGCGCACGUAGGCGGAUUUGUAAGUCAGGGGUGAAAUCCCGGGGCUCAACCUCGGAACUGCCUUUGAUACUGCAAAUCUCGAGUCCGAUAGAGGUGGGUGGAAUUCCUAGUGUAGAGGUGAAAUUCGUAGAUAUUAGGAAGAACACCGGUGGCGAAGGCGGCCCACUGGAUCGGUACUGACGCUGAGGUUCGAAAGCGUGGGGAGCAAACAGG
rnacentral:rRNA from 1 species